GCCGAUGGCGACCGGCGCACGGGUGAGUAACACGUAUCCAACCUGCCGUCUACUCUUGGACAGCCUUCUGAAAGGAAGAUUAAUACAAGAUGGCAUCAUGAGUCCGCAUGUUCACAUGAUUAAAGGUAUUCCGGUAGACGAUGGGGAUGCGUUCCAUUAGAUAGUAGGCGGGGUAACGGCCCACCUAGUCUUCGAUGGAUAGGGGUUCUGAGAGGAAGGUCCCCCACAUUGGAACUGAGACACGGUCCAAACUCCUACGGGAGGCAGCAGUGAGGAAUAUUGGUCAAUGGGCGAGAGCCUGAACCAGCCAAGUAGCGUGAAGGAUGACUGCCCUAUGGGUUGUAAACUUCUUUUAUAAAGGAAUAAAGUCGGGUAUGGAUACCCGUUUGCAUGUACUUUAUGAAUAAGGAUCGGCUAACUCCGUGCCAGCAGCCGCGGUAAUACGGAGGAUCCGAGCGUUAUCCGGAUUUAUUGGGUUUAAAGGGAGCGUAGAUGGAUGUUUAAGUCAGUUGUGAAAGUUUGCGGCUCAACCGUAAAAUUGCAGUUGAUACUGGAUAUCUUGAGUGCAGUUGAGGCAGGCGGAAUUCGUGGUGUAGCGGUGAAAUGCUUAGAUAUCACGAAGAACUCCGAUUGCGAAGGCAGCCUGCUAAGCUGCAACUGACAUUGAGGCUCGAAAGUGUGGGUAUCAAACAGGAUUAGAUACCCUGGUAGUCCACACGGUAAACGAUGAAUACUCGCUGUUUGCGAUAUACUGCAAGCGGCCAAGCGAAAGCGUUAAGUAUCCCACCUGGGGAGUACGCCGGCAACGGUGAAACUCAAAGGAAUUGACGGGGGCCCGCACAAGCGGAGGAACAUGUGGUUUAAUUCGAUGAUACGCGAGGAACCUUACCCGGGCUUAAAUUGCAGAUGAAUUACGGUGAAAGCCGUAAGCCGCAAGGCAUCUGUGAAGGUGCUGCAUGGUUGUCGUCAGCUCGUGCCGUGAGGUGUCGGCUUAAGUGCCAUAACGAGCGCAACCCUUGUUGUCAGUUACUAACAGGUUCCGCUGAGGACUCUGACAAGACUGCCAUCGUAAGAUGUGAGGAAGGUGGGGAUGACGUCAAAUCAGCACGGCCCUUACGUCCGGGGCUACACACGUGUUACAAUGGGGGGUACAGAGGGCCGCUACCACGCGAGUGGAUGCCAAUCCCCAAAACCUCUCUCAGUUCGGACUGGAGUCUGCAACCCGACUCCACGAAGCUGGAUUCGCUAGUAAUCGCGCAUCAGCCACGGCGCGGUGAAUACGUUCCCGGGCCUUGUACACACCGCCCGUCAAGCCAUGGGAGCCGGGGGUACCUGAAGUGCGUAACCGCGAGGAGCGCCCUAGGGUAAAACUGGUGACUGGGGCUAAGUCGUAACAAGGUAGCCGU
rnacentral:rRNA from 1 species